CAGUCAUCACACAGUGCUGGGAUCUCCACACUGAGGAGCUCCACCCUUUUACUGACUGCAUCAGUAGCUCGAUGACGUGCUCUGUGGCACUGAAGCACCACCAUCCUGCCUGGAGGGAAGAUGACCUUCACCUCUCCCCCAAUACUCUCCACAUGACCCCACAGCAGGGAAGGAAAUAAGAAAAAGAGGGCACCUGAUGUGGUAACUAGGACAUCAAGUCUUGACACUGCACUGUCUCCAGGUUUGAUGCGGAGGGUUUGAUGGUUCCUGAUGAUAGAAGAGCACUGAUGUGAAAUAAUUUAAGGUUUGUAGCUACAGUCAUGUUGUCUUUGUGAGUUUUAUCAACCUUUGAUCAAAUAACAGUCUGCAUGUCUCUGACCAAGAAGGAGACAAACUCUCUGCUGUAGUCACAGAACAACAUGUAAAGAACAGAACUUGGUGGCUGACUACAUGGAGACAGGAAACAUGGAGCUCUUCCUUCACCAAAGUCACAGCACAGUCUUUAACUUUCCCAUUAACACCACUGUUGAAGUCUUCCAGUCUCAUCCCAGCUGGAAUUUUGGUAAACCAAAGAGCCAGCAUGUACAUGACGUGUGUUUAUGGCUUUUAUGCUGAAACAUAUUACAGUUUUUUAAGAGUAAACAUGCCUGUGUUUUAUAAUCGAAACUUUUUCUUGGAACUGAAAAUAAUCUUCUUUCUGUAUCAGCAGCUAGCAUCUCGUGACACAUUAGAUGUUUUAGCUGCCAUUGAGUUUGGGUGUUGGUUCAUUCUGUUAGCAGCAGAUAUUUUUAACAUUUUUUAAACAAUUUUCAGAUAUUUAGGUAUAAUGUAACAAUACUUUACUGUUGUUUAUAUGACAGUAAAAUAUUACUACUGUCUAUACUGUCUGUACUAUAAUGAUAGUAAGGUGUAACAGUAUUAGGACAUGACAACUUAUCAUGGAGUGAAUGUCAUGAUAAUUUUUAACCUGAUUCUUACUCUGGCUGGCAUUACUUUGGAAA